UACAGAGGGUGCGAGCGUUAAUCGGAUUUACUGGGCGUAAAGGGCGCGUAGGCGGUUAGUAGAGUGUGAUGUGAAAGCCCCGGGCUCAACCUGGGAAGUGCAUCGCAAACGGACUAACUGGAGUAUAAGAGAGGGUGGCGGAAUUUCCGGUGUAGCGGUGAAAUGCGUAGAGAUCGGAAGGAACGUCAAUGGCGAAGGCAGCCACCUGGCUUAAUACUGACGCUGAGGCGCGAAAGCGUGGGGAGCGAACAGG
rnacentral:rRNA from 1 species